CACAUGCCCAUGGUGGUUAUAGUUGGCCAUUCGAAUGGUGGACUUGUACCAGCUUUAAAUAUUCAAAGAGGUACCUACAUCACCAGCAAGUCCAGUCCAAACAUUUUGACCAUUUUAACAAGACAUUUCAAACACUUUUUUUUAAUGGAUUUUUUGAAGAGUGAAGUAAUGCAAGACAAAAAUGCAGAUUCUCACUGACCCAAGCAAAUAUUUAUUAUGUUCUCCAUGAAAAUGUAGUGUAGAUUCCAUGUUAAACCAAAGAAUGUUUUUUUUGUUUGUUUGUUUUGUGUUUUUUUUAAAGCAUGGCUUAACAAUUUUUUGGGAAAGUUAAUUGUUUGCAUUCUUCUAUAAAUGAUCACAGCACAUGAACAGCAUACUUUGUUGUAUGUGAAACAGCUUAAAUCCUAAUGUUUACAAAGACAGAGUCUCUAGGAUAUACUAGGCUGCUUGAAGAACUCAUGUUUUACACUUUCAGCAAUCCUCUUCUCUUUGGGAUUCUCAGCCCCUAGGCUUUAUCCUAGAGAUAUGACGUAUACUUAGCAGUUCUCCAUAUUUCAUUUUUAUGAAAUUGGAGAGACUCUUUUGAUGUGAAAUAUGUAAUUUCUUCUCAUAAAAGACUGAUACAAGGGCCAUUUGACAGGAUAGGAUGUUGCAUUAAUGUUUUAGAUGCCUAUCUCUGCAAGCAAGUCUGAUGUUAUACACAAUGCUCACUUGGCUUCGUUUCCUUAUCUAUUUUAUGUGCAUGAACAGCUGGAAAUGGACGUAUAGAGGUUCUAACCUUCCACGGCACAUCUAAAAAAUUACACAACCAAAAUCUAUGCAGCUGUGAAUGCCAGAAAGCCAUCUGUAUACAAGUUAAUUGCUUUUGGUUUGAAUAGUUUCCAUUUUUAUCCUGCCAUCUACAUUUGCACCUAUUCAGUAGUUCAUUUUGGACACAGCAGGGAACACAUGCCACAUUGCAAUCCAGUUCUUCCAUGUUCCAGGCUGGCUCGUUGCUUGCCUUCCCUCAAACCAUUUCCUCCCUUCAGCAUUUUUCUCAAUUUGUCUCAGAAACCAACAGAGCAAACCUAAGGACUGCUAUUUUCACCAGCGCUUCUGUGGAGUGAGUUACCAGGCUGAGUGGAUGACAAGAGCAAGCAUAGGUUUAUUUUCUGGUUUCCCAACCCCAUUUACUUUCCUGUGACAAAGUAGAGGUGUCUAGGAGCAGCAAAUUCACCACAGUUCAGCCACGAGCAGGAGGAAUAGCAAUAUCAGACCAUGCAACACCUUGAACUGAUUGCUUCGAAAAUGAACCAGCUGUUCCUUUUGUUCCUUAAAUCUGUAGAUACACAUACGUAUGUGUGUAUAGCAAAUUAACAAUGCAAAUCAUACUCAGAAAAAUCUCUGACAUCUACUUAAAAUCCUGCUACUAAUUACAGAUGUGAUUCAGACCAGUGAUGUAUUUCUAAUUAGCACAAAUAAUCGGUCCUUUUUCCUUGGAGGAAAUUAGCAUGGCCUAACUAGUGAAAAUAAAACCAAACUUCACUCUAAAGACUGCUGCUUC
rnacentral:lncRNA from 1 species